rnacentral:rRNA from 1 species
CGGAACGGGUGAGUAACACGUGGGCAACCUGCCCAAAGAGGGGAUAACACUUGGAAACAGGUGCUAAUACCGCAUAACCAUAGUUACCGCAUGGUAGCUAUGUAAAAGGUGGCUAUGCUACCGCUUUUGGAUGGGCCCGCGGCGCAUUAGCUAGUUGGUGGGGUAAAGGCUUACCAAGGCAAUGAUGCGUAGCCGAACUGAGAGGUUGAUCGGCCACAUUGGGACUGAGACACGGCCCAAACUCCUACGGAAGGCAGCAG